CCAAACGGAGCCCUAGUUUAGGAUAAGCGCUACGAACGAACUUCGUUCUUCGCAACAAAAAGCAGAGAAGAAAGAACCCUGGUAAUACAGUACUCCAGUUAUCACCAUCAGGCUUCUCCGACCGACCGACCGACCGACUAGAGAAGAAAGAAGAAAUACUGGGGUUUGUGGGGAUUCAGAUUGACGAGAUACACCCUACGAAAGGUAAGCCAAAACGCUCUUUCUUUCUUUCUGCCUCUAAUUUCUGCGCAAAACCCUAGAAAUGUCGGACCACCUUCUUCCUCAAGACGUUCUGAUCGACAUCUUCGCGCGACUACCCACCGAGACUCUGGUCCGACUCACCUCCGUUUGCAAGUCAUGGUACUCUGUCAUCGCCAGCCCCAAGUUCAUCUCCGACCACCUCGAUCGAAACGCCAAUGACCGCCUCCUCCUCGUUCGCCACCGUACCGAUAAGCCCAAGACUGAUCACUACUCCCUCGCGCUUGACGGUAACAAGUCUUUCCGUCUACUCAAAGCCCUCGUUGUACCUUUCGACUCUGUGGGUUACUCUAUUGUCGGCAGCGUCAAUGGGGUUAUCUGCCUUUCUAACGAUCUCGAAUAUGGUUACCUGAAUGAUAUUUUUCUGUGGAAUCCCUCUAUUAGGAAAUUUGUUUCUUUGCCUAAAUAUAGUGUCACGUUUCACUCACACGGUCCAUUUAGCCACUCUCUGGGCUUUGGAUUUGAUCCGGUCACAAACAACUUUAAGGUCGUUAGAGUAGUGCAACCCGGGCUGUGACCGGAUUCCGCCUUUGGUUGAGCUGUACACGCACAAGACUGGUUGUUGGCGGUAUAUUAGUGAGAGAGCGCUUCCGAUGAUGGUUACGGAGCGAUGUCGACAGGCCUAUGUUAAUGGUGCUGCAAAUUGGAUGGCAUUUCAUCGGGGCCCUUUUCGCAACACGAUCUUGUCAUUCAACAUGAGUGAGGAGGUUUUUAGCGAGAUAUUGGUUCCAGAGAGUAUUACCAACGAUGAUUGCAGGAUGAUACUUGUUGUAUUUAAGGAAUCUCUUUGUUUGAUCCAGCAGCGUGUAUAUGGUGCUGAACCGCAUUGUGUGGUUUGGAUUAUGAAGGAGUACGGUGUGCCAACUUCUUGGUCUAGACUAUUCAGAAUCGAUCUUUCUGGAGGUUUGAGGAGGCCCCUUGGGUUGAGAGAAAACGGUGAAGUUAUAUUCGCGACUCAUGAUGGGAAUUUGGUUUCCUGCGAUCACCAGAGCAGACGUAUUACUUAUCUUGGAGUACGUGGCACAUUGGGCGAUGGGUACUCGCAUUGGCACACAUUUUACACGGAUACUUAUACAGAGAGCCUGGAAUUGCUAAAAAGGCGCUAAAAAGGCUGGAAAGUCCUGAAAAUCUUGUUGUGAAGAAGAGCAGCAGUAUGGAGGAGGAGGAGGAGGGGAAGCUAAAUGAAGCAGAGCGCCUGGGAAUGCUAAACAUGUUGGAAAGUCCUGAAAAUCCAGUUGUUAGUGGCCAGAAGAAGAAAAACAAGAACAAGAAAGAAGAACAAGAAAAAGGAGCAAGAUGAAUCAGGUAGUCCUUAGUGAUCACUCUACAUGAGCUUUUUUUUUUCAUGUGUUUGAGUUUUCACUUGCCAAGGAAGGGCUUAGUUUGUUAUGUCAUGGAAAUAGGAGAAGAAAACUAUUUUGCAUUAGUAUGGUCAGUUUUCAGAAUAUUUCAAAUGAUGUAGUUGGCUUUCGUAUUUGCCUGAGAGUAUAUAUUGGAAAUUGAGAGCAAAUCACUUUUUCCCUAACUUUAUACAUAUCUGUUUACUGCCUUAUAUGGAAAGAAGCAGAGUCUCUCAUAUAUGAGGUUUGACCCAUUAUUUCUCUCCUAACUUUUGCUGGGCCUUAUGUUUUUCUGCAUAGUUUUAGUAGACUAGCGGUUUUUGGUCAUUUUUUAGUGUUAAUUAUCUAAGCAUGUUUGUUGCUAAGCAUCACAUUUACUCCCUAUUCCAAACGUUUAUUUUUAUUAUCUUGCUGUAAAGGAAACACGACAAAACAUCGACAUGUUCUUUGAAGUAGCCAGGAAAGAGGAUGUUGAAGAAGAUGGAUUUAAUUUUUCAGCGUUGUACGAAAAUAGUUAUCGUUUCCAGAGCUUUUACUCCAUUUUACAUGGAUACUUAUGCAGAGAGCCUGGUAAUGCUAAACAAGUUGGAAAGUCCUGAAAAUGCAGUUGUUAGUGGCCAGAAGAAGAAGAAAAAGAAGAACAAGAAGAAGAAGAAAGAGGAGGAGAAGGAGCAAAAGAGGAAGCAGGGAGUACAUAGUGUCUCACUUUACAUGAGCUUUUUUGUAACGUGUUGAGUUUUCACUUGCCAAGGAAGGGCUUAGUUUGUUAGGUCAUGGAAAUAGGAAAAGAAAACUAAUUUGCGUUAGUAUGGUCAGUUUUUAAGUAGUGGCGUUUAUAUUCUUGGAGAAUGUGUAGGAAAUUUAGAGCAAGUAACUUUUCUCUAACUUAAUACAUAUUUCUUUUUUGGUGCCUCAAAUUGGAAAGAAGGUUUAUGAGGUUUGAUCCAUUAUUUCUCUCUCGACUUGUUUUGGGGCUUUAUGCUCUCCAUAAUUUAACCAGACGAGGUUAUUUCUUGGUUUUUUAA